rnacentral:rRNA from 1 species
GACGGAGGGUGCUAGCGUUGUUCGGAAUUACUGGGCGUAAAGGGCGCGUAGGCGGCCGUUUGCGUGGAUGUGAAAGCCCGGGGCUCAACCCCGGAACGGCAUCCGAUACGGGACGGCUGGAGACCGGGAGAGGAGGGUGGAAUAGCCAGUGUAGAGGUGAAAUUCGUAGAUAUUGGCUGGAACACCGGUGGCGAAAGCGGCUCUCUGGCCCGGUUCUGACGCUGAGGCGCGAAAGCGUGGGGAGCAAACCGG